UGAGUAACCUGCCCUGGACUUUGGGAUAACCCUCGGAAACGGGGGCUGAUACCGGAUAUGACACGCUCUCGCAUGGGAUGUGUGUGGAAAGUUUUUUUCGGUCUGGGAUGGGCUCGCGGCCUAUCAGCUUGUUGGUGGGGUGAUGGCCUACCAAGGCGACGACGGGUAGCCGGCCUGAGAGGGUGACCGGCCACACUGGGACUGAGACACGGCCCAGACUCCUACGGGAGGCA
rnacentral:rRNA from 1 species